rnacentral:rRNA from 1 species
GUCUCAGUUCGGAUUGAAGGCUGAAAUUCGCCUUCCAUGAAGCCGGAAUUGCUAGUAAUGGCAGGUCAGCAUACUGCCGUGAAUACGUUCCCGGGCCUUGUACACACCGCCCGUCACACCAUGAGAGUUGGGAAUACCCGAAGCCUGUGAGCUAACUUUUAGAGGCAGCAGUCGAAGGUAGAAUCAAUGAUUGGGGUGAAGUCGUAACAAGGUACC